rnacentral:rRNA from 1 species
CCUACGGGGGGCAGCAGUGAGGAAUAUUGGUCAAUGGACGAGAGUCUGAACCAGCCAAGUAGCGUGAAGGAUGACUGCCCUAUGGGUUGUAAACUUCUUUUAUAUGGGAAUAAAACGUUCCACGUGUGGGAUUUUGUAUGUACCAUAUGAAUAAGGAUCGGCUAACUCCGUGCCAGCAGCCGCGGUAAUACGGAGGAUCCGAGCGUUAUCCGGAUUUAUUGGGUUUAAAGGGAGCGUAGGUGGAUUGUUAAGUCAGUUGUGAAAGUUUGCGGCUCAACCGUAAAAUUGCAGUUGAAACUGGCAGUCUUGAGUACAGUAGAGGUGGGCGGAAUUCGUGGUGUAGCGGUGAAAUGCUUAGAUAUCACGAAGAACUCCGAUUGUGAAGGCAGUUCACUGGACUGCAACUGACACUGAGGCUCGAAAGUGUGGGUAUCAAACAGGAUUAGAUACCCGAGUAGUC